rnacentral:rRNA from 1 species
UACGAAGGGUGCAAGCGUUACUCGGAAUUACUGGGCGUAAAGCGUGCGUAGGUGGUGAGUUAAGUCUGUCGUGAAAGCCCCGGGCUCAACCUGGGAAUGGCGAUGGAUACUGGCUCGCUAGAGUGCGGUAGAGGAGAGUGGAAUUCCCGGUGUAGCAGUGAAAUGCGUAGAGAUCGGGAGGAACAUCAGUUGCGAAGGCGGCUCUCUGGACCAGCACUGGACACUGAGGCACGAAAAGCGUGGGGGAGCAAACAGGG